GAAAGAGAAAUCGGUGAGAGAUGGAUCCGCGUCCGAUUAGCUAGUUGGAGGGGUAACAGCCCACCAAGGCGACGAUCGGUAGCCGACCUGAGAGGGUGGACGGCCACAUUGGGACUGAGACACGGCCCAAACUCCUACGGGAGGCAGCAGUGGGGAAUAUUGCACAAUGGGGGAAACCCUGAUGCAGCAACGCCGCGUGAGUGAGGAAGUAUUUCGGUAUGUAAAGCUCUAUCAGCAGGGAAUAGAAAAGAAGGUACCUGAAAAAGAAGCCCCGGCUAACUACGUGCCAGCAGCCGCGGUAAUACGUAGGGGGCAAGCGUUAUCCGGAUUUACUGGGUGUAAAGGGAGCGUAGACGGAAAGGCAAGUCAGAAGUGAAAACCCAAGGCUCAACCAUGGGACUGCUUUUGAAACUGUCAAACUAGAGUACGGGAGAGGUAAGAGGAAUUCCUAGUGUAGCGGUGAAAUGCGUAGAUAUUAGGAGGAACACCAGUGGCGAAGGCGUCUUACUGGACCGAAACUGACGUUGAGGCUCGAAAGCGUGGGGAGCAAACAGGAUUAGAUACCCUGGUAGUCCACGCGGUAAACGA
rnacentral:rRNA from 1 species